UAACGUGUGGGCAACCUGCCCUGUACUGGGGAAUAAUCAUUGGAAACGAUGACUAAUACCGCAUGUGGUCCUCGGAAGGCAUCUUCUGAGGAAGAAAGGAUUUAUUCGGUACAGGAUGGGCCCGCAUCUGAUUAGCUAGUUGGUGAGAUAACAGCCCACCAAGGCGACGAUCAGUAGCCGGACUGGGAGGUUGAACGGCCACAUUGGGACUGAGACACGGCCCAG
rnacentral:rRNA from 1 species